UGCGGGUUGAUGUAACAGUAACAUAGCGGGCUCAUGCCCCGAAUUUGAAGGUGCGAAUCCUUUGCCUGCAU
rnacentral:tRNA from 1 species